rnacentral:rRNA from 1 species
AACGAACGCUGGCGGCAGGCUUAACACAUGCAAGUCGAACGGGUGUAGCAAUACAUCAGUGGCAGACGGGUGAGUAACACGUGGGAACCUUCCUUAAGGUACGGGACAACUCAGGGAAACUUGAGCUAAUACCGUAUACGUCCGAGAGGAGAAAGAUUUAUCGCCUUUAGACGGGCCCGCGUCGGAUUAGCUAGUUGGUGGGUAACGGCCGUACCAAGGCGACGAUCCGUAGCUGAUCUGAGAGGAUGAUCAGCCACACUGGGACUGAGACACGGCCCAGACUCCUACGGGAGGCGAGCAGUGGGGAAGUCUUGGACAAUGGGCGGCAAGCCUGAUCCAGCCAUGCCGCGUGAGUGAAGAAGGCCUUAGGGUUGUAAAGCUC